GGGGCCGUAACGGUUUCGACAGGUUAGCGAAAGCUCCCCCGUGAUACAGGUCGAGAGUGAGUCUCCUCUCGUAAAUCAAAGGCUCAAACAAAAAGUAAAUGCGAACAACAUCGUUCCUUUCG
rnacentral:tmRNA from 2 species